GGACACUAGGCAUUCCGCGGUCUAGCCGACCGCCAAUCCUUACGGACUAGAGAGGCACGCUUAGUUUUCCACGCUGACUGUACUCCGUUAGAUACCCCAAUUUUAUAUCACUGCGGUAUUUUUAACCGACAACUUCGUAAAUCUGUAUUGUAUUUUACUGCGCGAAAUGUGGAAGUACAAAAUACAAUGAAUUUUAUCGAGUAUUCGAUAAAACAUUGAGUUGUAUAUAUACAUUACUUGAAAAAAUAUAUACACAACAUACUUGAAA